rnacentral:rRNA from 1 species
UACGUAGGGUGCGAGCGUUAAUCGGAAUUACUGGGCGUAAAGCGUGCGCAGGCGGUUUUGUAAGCCAGAUGUGAAAGCCCCGGGCUCAACCUGGGAAUGGCAUUUGGGACUGCAAGGCUUGAGUGCGGCAGAGGGGGAUGGAAUUCCGCGUGUAGCAGUGAAAUGCGUAGAUAUGCGGAGGAACACCGAUGGCGAAGGCAAUCCCCUGGACCUGUACUGACGCUCAUGCACGAAAGCGUGGGGAGCAAACAGG